rnacentral:rRNA from 1 species
GGUUAAGUUAGAAAGGGCGCACGGUGAAUGCCUUGGCACUAGGAGCCGAUGAAGGACGGGACUAACACCGAUAUGCUUCGGGGAGCUGUAAGUGAGCUUUGAUCCGGAGAUUUCCGAAUGGGGAAACCCACUGUUCGUAAUGGAACAGUAUCUUUAUCUGAAUACAUAGGAUAUUGAAGGCAGACCCGGGGAACUGAAACAUCUAAGUACCCGGAGGAAGAGAAAGCAAAUGCGAUUUCCUGAGUAGCGGCGAGCGAAACGGAAUUAGCCCAAACCAAGAGGCUUGCCUCUUGGGGUUGUAGGACACUCUAUACGGAGUUACAAAGGAACGAAGUAAAUGAAGCGACCUGGAAAGGUCCGUCGAAGAAGGUAACAACCCUGUAGUUGAAACUUCGUUCCCUCUUGAGUGGAUCCUGAGUACGGCGGAACACGUGAAAUUCCGUCGGAAGCUGGGAGGACCAUCUCCCAAGGCUAAAUACUACCUAGUGACCGAUAGUGAACCAGUACCGUGAGGGAAAGGUGAAAAGCACCCCGGAAGGGGAGUGAAAGAGAUCCUGAAACCGUGUGCCUACAAGUAGUCAGAGCCCGUUAACGGGUGAUGGCGUGCCUUUUGUAGAAUGAACCGGCGAGUUACGAUCCCAUGCAAGGUUAAGCUGAUAAGGCGGAGCCGUAGCGAAAGCGAGUCUGAAUAGGGCGUUUAGUAUGUGGUUGUAGACCCGAAACCAGGUGAUCUACCCAUGUCCAGGGUGAAGUUCAGGUAACACUGAAUGGAGGCCCGAACCCACGCACGUUGAAAAGUGCGGGGAUGAGGUGUGGGUAGCGGAGAAAUUCCAAUCGAACCUGGAGAUAGCUGGUUCUCUCCGAAAUAGCUUUAGGGCUAGCCUCAUGUUGUGAGAGUCUUGGAGGUAGAGCACUGAUUGGACUAGGGGCCCCCAACGGGUUACCGAAUUCAGUCAAACUCCGAAUGCCAAAGACUUAUCCAUGGGAGUCAGACUGCGAGUGAUAAGAUCCGUAGUCAAAAGGGAAACAGCCCAGACCACCAGCUAAGGUCCCCAAGUAUACGUUAAGUGGAAAAGGAUGUGGAGUUGCUUAGACAACCAGGAUGUUGGCUUAGAAGCAGCCACCAUUUAAAGAGUGCGUAAUAGCUCACUGGUCGAGUGACUCUGCGCCGAAAAUGUACCGGGGCUAAACGUAUCACCGAAGCUGUGGAUUGACAUCUUUGAUGUCAGUGGUAGGAGAGCGUUCUAAGUGCAGCGAAGUCAGACCGUAAGGACUGGUGGAGCGCUUAGAAGUGAGAAUGCCGGUAUGAGUAGCGAAAGACAAGUGAGAAUCUUGUCCACCGAAUGCCUAAGGUUUCCUGAGGAAGGCUCGUCCGCUCAGGGUUAGUCGGGACCUAAGCCGAGGCUGAAAAGCGUAGGCGAUGGCCAACAGGUUGAUAUUCCUGUACCACCUCCCCGCCGUUUGAGUAAUGGGGGGACGCAGUAGGAUAGGGUAAGCGCGCUGCUGGAUAUGCGCGUUCAAGCAGUUAGGCUGAUGAGUAGGCAAAUCCGCUCAUCAUAAAGGCUGAGCUGUGAUGACGAGGGAAUUAUAGUACCGAAGUUCCUGAUUCCACACUGCCAAGAAAAGCCUCUAGCGAGGCGGGAGGUGCCCGUACCGCAAACCGACACAGGUAGGCGAGGAGAGAAUCCUAAGGUGAUCGAGAGAACUCUCGUUAAGGAACUCGGCAAAAUGACCCCGUAACUUCGGGAGAAGGGGUGCUCUGGUAGGGUGUAUAGCCCGAGAGAGCCGCAGUGAAUAGGCCCAGGCGACUGUUUAGCAAAAACACAGGUCUCUGCGAAGCCGCAAGGCGAAGUAUAGGGGCUGACGCCUGCCCGGUGCUGGAAGGUUAAGAGGAGGGGUUAUCCUUUGGGAGAAGCUCUGAAUCGAAGCCCCAGUAAACGGCGGCCGUAACUAUAACGGUCCUAAGGUAGCGAAAUUCCUUGUCGGGUAAGUUCCGACCCGCACGAAAGGCGUAACGAUCUGGGCACUGUCUCAACGAGAGACUCGGUGAAAUUAUAGUACCUGUGAAGAUGCAGGUUACCCGCGACAGGACGGAAAGACCCCGUGGAGCUUUACUGUAGCCUGAUAUUGAAUUUUGGUACAGCUUGUACAGGAUAGGUAGGAGCCUGAGAAGCCGGAGCGCUAGCUUCGGUGGAGGCGUCGGUGGGAUACUACCCUGGCUGUAUUGAAAUUCUAACCCGCGGCCCUGAUCGGGCCGGGAGACAGUGUCAGGUGGGCAGUUUGACUGGGGCGGUCGCCUCCUAAAAUGUAACGGAGGCGCCCAAAGGUUCCCUCAGAAUGGUUGGAAAUCAUUCGUAGAGUGUAAAGGCACAAGGGAGCUUGACUGCGAGACCUACAAGUCGAGCAGGGACGAAAGUCGGGCUUAGUGAUCCGGUGGUUCCGCAUGGACGGUACGCGAGCUGGGUUCAGAACGUCGUGAGACAGUUCGGUCCCUAUCCGUCGUGGGCGUAGGAAAUUUGAGAGGAGCUGUCCUUAGUACGAGAGGACCGGGAUGGACACACCGCUGGUGUACCAGUUGUCUUGCCAAAGGCAUCGCUGGGUAGCUAUGUGUGGACGGGAUAAGUGCUGAAAGCAUCUAAGCAUGAAGCCCCCCUCAAGAUGAGAUUUCCCAUAGCGCAAGCUAGUAAGAUCCCUGAAAGAUGAUCAGGUUGAUAGGUCAGAGGUGGAAGCGUGGCGACAUGUGUAGCUGACUGAUACUAAUCGAUCGAGGACUUAACCAA